rnacentral:tRNA from 1 species
UGCCCUUUCGUCUAAAUGGCAGGACACCGCUCUUUGACAGCGUGAAUCGUGGUUCGAAUCCAUGAAGGGCAA